UGAAAAAGCAGACAGCAGGGGAUGGCAAAGUGUACAGUAAAAGUUAUUCGAUACCAUCUGUGUAUUUUGUAUCGCGAUGCAAAAGUUGUUGUUAUGUUUUCAAUUACUUAAGUUUGUAUAGUAUAUACGAUAUACUACUAUAAGCUGCAGUGCAUAAUUAAUUCCACGAAUCAAAUGUUGAAAAUGUGACAUGUAGAAAAAUCGUCGUACAAGCGAAGAGAAAAAUUCACAACCAAAUUUCCUGUCCGUCAUCGUCGUCGCCAGAUAGGAAUGCGGUAUAGUAAACGGGUACCUAUAUCUGGAUCUGUCAACAUUGUUGCUAUACGUGGUCGCAACAUCGAACAUCAACAUACCUUUUGGAUAUUUUUGCUGAAAGUGAAACGUAGAAUGGCGGAGUUUCCGAAGCCUCUGGCAGAUCAUCAG